GACGAACCGUGCGAACGUUGUUCGGAAUCACUGGGCUUAAAGGGCGCGUAGGCGGGCCCGUCGGUCCGCGGUGAAAUCCCCCGGCUCAACCGGGGAAGUGCCGCGGAUACUGCGGGCCUGGAGGGAGGUAGGGGCGUGUGGAACUUCCGGUGGAGCGGUGAAAUGUGUUGAUAUCGGUGGGAACGCCAGUGGCGAAAGCGGCAGACUGGACCCUUCCUGACGCUGAGUGCGCGAAAGCUAGGGGAGCAAACGGG
rnacentral:rRNA from 1 species